GAAACUUCUCCUGUCACAGAGGCUGCUAUCAGCCUGUCAUCUUCCUUCACCUUGUGGGAGCACAUGGAGGCCAUAUUAACCCUCUCCUGGCUGCCUGGAUAGCAGACAAUGACUGGAGUAGGAUUGUAAAAGAGGAACCAUGGGAAGUCCUGGGUGGAACCCAUAGUGCAUGAAUAGCAUAUGAUGACAGACAAAAGACACAGAAUGGAGGAACUACACAAAGUGCAUUGUCCGUCUGACCCCUAUACACUGCAUGAAUACCUAGAGAAGAGCUACUAGUUCUUCCCUCCUCCAAUCCAGUCUUACAGUCCCAAGGUAUGCUUAACAUAGAUAUAUUAUCCA